rnacentral:rRNA from 1 species
CGGGUGCACUGAUCCAGCCGGGCCUUUCCCUCUGUGGAACCCCAUGGCCUUCACUGGCUGUGGCGGGGAAACAGGACUUUUACUUUGAAAAAAUUAGAGUGCUCCAGGCAGGCCUAUGCUCGAAUACAUUAGCAUGGAAUAAUAGAAUAGGACGUGUGGUUCUAUUUUGUUGGUUUCUAGGACCGCCGUAAUGAUUAAUAGGGACAGUCGGGGGCAUCAGUAUUCAAUUGUCAGAGGUGAAAUUCUUGGAUCUAUUGAAGACUAACUACUGCGAAAGCAUUUGCCAAGGAUGUUCUCAUUGAUAAGGAACGAAAGUUAGGGGAUCGAAGACGAUCAGAUACCGUCGUAGUCUUAACUAUAAACUAUGCCGACUAGGGAUCGGACGAUGUUAUUCUUUGACGCGUUCGGCACCUUUCGAGAAAUCAAAGUGCUUGGGCUCCAGGGGGAGUAUGGUCGCAAGGCUGAAACUUAAAGAAAUUGACGGAAGGGCACCACCAGGGGUGGAACCUGCGGCUUAAUUUGACUCAACACGGGGAAACUCACCAGGUCCAGACACAGUGAGGAUUGACAGAUUGAGAGCUCUUUCUUGAUUCUGUGGGUGGUGGUGCAUGGCCGUUCUUAGUUGGUGGAGUGAUUUGUCUGCUUAAUUGCGAUAACGAACGAGACCUUAACCUGCUAAAUAGCCCGUACUGCUUUGGCAGUUCGCCGGCUUCUUAGAGGGACUAUCGG